UUGCUUCCUUUCCUCCUCAUCCUCUCUUUGCUCUCCAUCUCCUUCACUCCUUUACUCCUUCACUCCUUCACCUUUUCUGCUUCAUUCAAUCCAUCAUAGCGUCAUCGCCCCUUAUUCUAUUAUUAUUAUUAUUAUUAUUUUCUUUCAAGUCGACUUUAAUUUAUAGGGAAAUGGACUGCUUUUUUAUCCCUAUUUAAUUUGUUUUGAUCUAAAGGCUAAGGAAAAUAAAUCUCUAGCCUUUUUCAACUCGAAAAUUAUAAAGCCCCCCAUAAGCCUCUCGUUUUCCAUACAGCUUCUGAUAACCAGCCUGAGCCUGCCUCAAGAGGGAAAGAGAAGAAAUAUUAAAAAUGACAAGCCCGUGUUCUGCUCUUUGCCGCUAUCUAUUAUCUAAGGUGGAUUCUGCUCAUUUGUUUUCCUCUGCAUGCCCUGUUCUUUUCACUGAUUCUCUUCUCAUCAGCUCAGACUUAUGAUCAAUUUAUGCUACCCUUCUCUGCCUUUCGUAAUUCAUCACAAUUAAAUGUAGCUUCCACCAAAUCUCUCUCUCUCUCUCAAAUAACCAACAAAAAAAAAAAUAUUGUUCUUUGGUUCCUGCUCUCUGUUAUGAUCUUUGGUUAAUUUUGGUUCCUGCUGUCUGUUAAUGAUCUUUGGUUAAUUUUCAAGGGUGAGAUGAGAUGAGAUGGUUCCAUGACCAUGAGUUUUACUGUGAACUCAUCAAACCUCCUCUACAGAACUACAGUAAUCCUUACAGUUCUCCAUCUUCUCAAUUCUCCAGCUUCUUGUGUAGAUCCCCAGCGGCCCCCUUCUGUCUCUCUUGAGGGUUUGAUAACGGAAGAGAAAACGAGGCUGGGUUCGACCCCUCCAACUUGCCAUAACAAGUGCAACGAGUGCCACCCUUGCAUAGCGGUUCAGGUGCCAACUCUCCCGGAACGCAACCGAUACCCACCCAGUUUUGGGAGAACGAAUCCUAUGGGCUACUUGGAGUCGUCGCCAUCGGCGGGGGGCAGAAAGUUCGCCAAUUACAAGCCGUUGUGUUGGAAGUGCCGAUGCGGCAGUCGACUAUUCAACCCUUAGAAGAGUGGAUUCGAGGGUCAUAUUGAGCCUGAGCCUGAAAAUGGAGAUGGGUUUCAUCUUAGACUUGCAGAGGAGACAUGCAUAAACUUGUAAUUUGUGAUGGUCAUGUAAUGUUCCUCAAAAUGGGUUUCUUUUAUCAUUGUUGACAGUUGUGUCUUACUUUUGCUUUACUAUUAACUUGUUGAACAGGGCCCCUGCCUCCCUUAGGAAUUUAUUUUUAGUGGCACGGCACAUUAAUUCGAUGGGAAUUUACUGUA